UACGUAGGGUGCGAGCGUUAAUCGGAAUUACUGGGCGUAAAGCGUGCGCAGGCGGUUUUGUAAGUCUGACGUGAAAUCCCCGGGCUUAACCUGGGAAUUGCGUUUGAAACUACAAGGCUAGAGUGUGACAGAGGGGGGUGGAAUUCCACGUGUAGCAGUGAAAUGCGUAGAGAUGUGGAGGAACACCGAUGGCGAAGGCAGCCCCCUGGGUUAACACUGACGCUGAGGCACGAAAGCGUGGGGAGCAAACAGG
rnacentral:rRNA from 1 species